rfam:Flavobacteriaceae bacterium CG2_30_34_30 cg2_3.0_scaffold_2141_c, whole genome shotgun sequence.
UAUCUUUGCCGCCUAAUUACCAAAGAGGUAAUUUAUACAUAAAAAUCAUUUAAAUAAUAUUGGCAUG